CGGCGCCACAAGUGGCAAUCGUUUUUAUUUGGCCUAAAGCGUCCGUAGCUGGUUAAGUAAAUCUCUUGUGAAAUUGUAUCGCUUAACGAAACAGCGUGCAGGAGAGACUGCUUGACUAGGGACCGGGAGGAGUCAGAGGUAUGCUGGGGGGAGCGGUAAAAUGCUAUAAUCCAUGGAGGACCACCGGUGGCGAAGGCGUCUGACCAGAACGGAUCUGACGGUGAGGGACGAAAGCCAGGGGAGCAAUCCGGAUUAGAUACCCGCGUAGUCC
rnacentral:rRNA from 1 species